UCAAGUCCAUUCAAUGAAAAGUUAGCAAGUUUUAUUUUAUUGAUCAACAUAAUUGGUCAACCAUUUUUGAGCAACAAAUGCUUAAAAUGACCAAAGCCUUUCCAACCAUGGCUGGUUAAACCUCUUGUUUGGUUCCUUUUUUUGAUAGCAAUUAACAUUCACAAAGUCGAUUGUUCCAUUUAAUAAUUUAACCAAAAAAUCCUCCAAAUAAUGGUUACUCUAUCAGUUCUAAUUACAGAUAAAAGGCCAAAAAACAACGGGUCGAUAUCAUUAUACAACAACAUCCAAUCUCAUUGUGAUCACUUGGAUACAAAAGAUGUAACAAUUUGAUCAACACUUGGCCUUUGUCUUUUACCUUCACACAGCCUUGUGUACUUUUAAUUGUUAACAGUAAUCAUCAUUGAUCGAUCAUUUCUCAAUAAUUAAUCAAUUGUUUUGAUUGUUUAGCUCGGGUUCACCCAAAAAAAAGAAGCAAACCGAAAAACAAAUUUGAUUGUCAAUUGAUGAGUUUCCAGCCUUUCAAUUUUACCAUUUGGCUAAUGGCAUUUCACCAUUACAUCAACAUUCAUCUCAAUAUCAACCUCAACCUAAUCACCAUCAUAAACAGUGAAAUGAAAUGCUGUAAAAAUCAAGGUGGAAAUGCGGACUACAAUCAAUGUUGGACUCCUUAAUAACAGAGAGGCUAAAUGUGUGUAAAAUAAUCAGUAAAUCAGGUUCAUCAGACCUUUGAUAAAAUUGUGAUUCGCUUCAUUUGUUACUUUAACUUGUUUCUUCUUCUUCUUUUUUCUUCCUCUCUCUACCUUUACAUUAACCUAAACCAAUUCUUUACAAGCUAUUGUUUAUCCAUCUUACCUGUCUUCAUCAUUAGAAUCAUCAUCAUAUUACUAUCAUUAUUGUAAACUGGAAGCUUGAGUUAUCUGGUUAGUGCUUCAUCCAAUUAUAACCCAAAGACCUGUGACUAUAAUUGAAGCAACAAUUUUAAAUUGAUAUUUUGACUCAAGAAUAGAGGCAAACAGUGACCAAAAAAAGGUAACAUUCAAUUGAAUACAAGUUUGUAGACAAUUUGAUUGACAGGUAAAGUCUCGGUUAGUUGAUUACAAUAGGAAUUUCCGUUUACAGAACAACAUUUCCUCUGAUUUUUAAUUAUUUAGUAUUGAAAAUGAGCAAAUUUUACCAUUAAAACCAUCUUCAAAUGAACCAAAUGAAACCUUAUUGUAUUCAAACAAUGUAAAAAUAUUGACUCGAAAUUGAAUUAUAACUCAAUCAAGCGAUAUUUAAAUUAAUGAAUGUAAAUUGAAUUUCAAAUGUUAUUUAAAAUGUACAUUUUCA